rnacentral:SRP_RNA from 13 species
GCCGGGUGCAGUGGCAUGUGCCUGUAAUCCAAGUCACUGGGAGGCUGAGGUUGGUGGAUCAAGUGAGCUGAGGAGCUCUGGGCUGCAGCAUGCUAUGUCGAACGGGUGUCCAUGCUAAGUUCGGUAUCGAUAUGGUGUUCCUAGGGGAGCCUGUGACCACCAGGUUGUCUAAGGAGGGGUGAACCGGCCCAGGUCGGAAACGAAGCAGGUCAAAUCCCCCGUGCUGUCAAGUGGUGGGAUAAUACCUGUGAGUAGAUGCUGCAGUGCAGCCUUGGCAAAACAUCGAGACCUAAUCUUUU